GUAGGUGGCAAGCGUUGUCCGGGAUUAUUGGGCGUAAAGCGCGCGCAGGCGGUUCUUUAAGUCUGAUGUGAAAGCCCACGGCUCAACCGUGGAGGGUCAUUGGAAACUGGAGAACUUGAGUACAGAAGAGGAAAGCGGAAUUCCACGUGUAGCGGUGAAAUGCGUAGAGAUGUGGAGGAACACCAGUGGCGAAGGCGGCUUUCUGGUCUGUAACUGACGCUGAGGCGCGAAAGCGUGGGGAGCGAGCAGGAUUAGAUACCCUGGUAGUCCACGCCGUAAACGAUGAGUGCUAAGUGUUAGGGGGGUUUUCCGCCCCCCUUAGUGCUGCAGCUAACGCAUUAAGCACUCCGCCUGGGAGUACGGCCGCAAGGCUG
rnacentral:rRNA from 1 species